UACAGAGGUCUCAAGCGUUGUUCGGAUUCAUUGGGCGUAAAGGGGUGCGUAGGCGGCGCGGUAAGUCGGGUGUGAAAUCUUGGAGCUUAACUCCGAAACUGCAUUCGAUACUGCCGUGCUUGAGGACUGGAGAGGAGACUGGAAUUUACGGUGUAGCGGUGAAAUGCGUAGAUAUCGUAAGGAAGACCAGUGGCGAAGGCGGGUCUCUGGACAGUUCCUGACGCUGAGGCACGAAGGUCAGGGGGAGCAAACGGGG
rnacentral:rRNA from 1 species